rnacentral:rRNA from 1 species
AAGCUCAAAUUUUCAAUCUGGCGUCUUCGGCGUCCGAGUUGUAAUCUAGAGAAGUGUUUUCCGUGUCGGACCGUGUAAAAGUCUUCUGGAACGAGGUGUCAUAGAGGGUGAGAAUCCCGUACAUGCCACGGACUACCGUCACAUUGCGAUACACUCUCGAC